rnacentral:rRNA from 1 species
UGGGGAAUUUUGGACAAUGGGGACGAAGCCUGAUCCAGCAAUGCCGCGUGUGUGAAGAAGGCCUUCGGGUUGUAAAGCACUUUUGUCCGGAAAGAAAUCCUUGGCUCUAAUACAGUCGGGGGAUGACGGUACCGGAAGAAUAAGCACCGGCUAACUACGUGCCAGCAGCCGCGGUAAUACGUAGGGUGCAAGCGUUAAUCGGAAUUACUGGGCGUAAAGCGUGCGCAGGCGGUUUGCUAAGACCGGUGUGAAAUCCCCGGGCUCAACCUGGGAACUGCAUUGGUGACUGGCAGGCUAGAGUAUGGCAGGAGGGGGGUAGGAAUUCCACGUGUAGCAGUGAAAUGCGUAGAGAUGUGGAGGAAUACCGAUGGCGAAGGCCAGCCCCUGGGCCAAUACUGACGCUCAUGCACGAAAAGCGUGGGGGAGCAAAACAGGAUUAGAUACCCCUGGUAGUCCACGCCCUAAAACGAUGUCAACUAGUUGUUGGGGGAUUCAUUUACCUUAGUAACGUAGCUAACGCGUGAAGUUGACCGCCUGGGGGAGUACGGUCGC